rnacentral:tRNA from 1 species
GGGGAGGUCGCCUAGCGGCCAAUGGCACGGGACUGUAAAUCCCGCGGCGAAAGCCUACGCUGGUUCGAAUCCAGCCCUCCCCACCA